UUUAUCUCAAUCUCUUGCUUCUCAAAGGUUGUUCUCUCAGUUGAGAAUUGAGGGGUAUUUAUAGACUGCUAGUCAUAGGUGCCCAGCAAGCCAAUCACGUGAGUGAUGGCACGUGUGACUUGAUACAUAAUCUUUUUGCUUAUUAUAUUUUGGCGUAUAUCACUUUAUAACUAUUGCAUAAAUGCAUAUAUAUAUUGUGAUUGUUGAAUCUCGGAUUUUGAUGAUAAAAUCAAUUGAUGGGUUAUUUGAUCUAAUCCAUAUUAUUGAGUUAAGUGUGCAGGAUUAACUACGAUAACCAGAAAACACAAAGCGAGAAUACCAGAGUCAAGUUCGAUGGACGUUUAAGAGUCUGAAGAAUCGUCGGAGAUGCUGCUAGAACCAAUCGAGAAGAAAUCGGGAACCUGUCGGAAUUUUCGGAAGUUCGCCGAAGAGAUCGUCGGAGGUUCACGGAGAUCACCGAGAAGGCUCGGCUACUUAUUAAAGUCAUCACAAGUUCGGGAGCUUGCUAGAAGCCCGUCGGCAGAAAGUUCGUCGGAAAGCUCGCCAGAACAAGACUCGACGUUCGCGGUUGAAAAUUUGCUUAGGAUGUGUUUUGGUUAUGUAGUCCAUUUGUAAUUAGGAUUAGGAUUAAGAGAUAAUCCUAUAUCCUGGUUAGGGGCCAACUGGGCCCAAAGUCAGAGUUGGUUUAGGCUAAAAAUUAAGCUAAACCAGC
rnacentral:lncRNA from 1 species